rfam:Legionella feeleii strain WO-44C Lfee_ctg081, whole genome shotgun sequence.
AAUAGAGAGUAUUUCUUGUCCGGCUUACAAGCAAAAAGAAGGAAGCCAGGUUAAUGAUGUGGUGUGCAUGCUUAAACUAAUUUAAGAAGCCUAAAACAUCUUACGAGGCAUCCACCUGAAAACAUGAACCGUGACAAGAAUACCCUCUAUUU